rnacentral:lncRNA from 1 species
AACACUCAAUCCCACUCGGCAGGGAGAAGGUAGCAUAUGAAGAAUUGAAAACCUGCCUCGUUGAUGUUGCACAAAUAAACAGAAGAAAGAAAUAGGUCAGUAUUACUGGAAUAAGCUUCUGGCACAAAACUUCUGUUACUUCUUUCUCUACUUAUCUCCUUUAAUGAAUCACCUCUUUGCAAGCUCCAUUUUUUUCAAGCAGAAGCACCAUAAAGAUUUAAAUACAAGAGAUGAAGUAGUUGUUUUUCAAUUAUGUGCAUUUAGUUUUGUCAAGAGAUAAAGUAGUUAUCUUUCAAUUAUGUGCAUUUAGUUUUGUUAGAGAUUUACUGUUGUCAAGAAUUUCUACUAAUUUGAUAAAUCUAACAAUGUUACAACACAAGGCAUAUGAGACUUUGCUUAUUUUCUCAUAAUCUUAUCUGGUUUAUACUUCAACUAUUUUGUGUUAUUUACCUUUUCUAAUGAAGAAUAACAAAAGAAUGCCGAAUACCCAAAAUUACCUAUGAUAAUUUAUUUAAUUAAUGUAAAUAAAUCCUUAAUAUGUGAUACGAAUAGUAUCCCCGUGCUGCAGCAACAGAUUCUGUUCCAGGGCUCCAGAAAAAGAAUCAUGGAAAUCUGUUGCAUUCAUAAGAAGCACCACCAUGGGUGUUUGUCGGGCAUGAUGGUUAUCUUAGCAAAUUCAAAGGUCUCUAUCUGUUCACUGAACAAUGUCCAUGCACGGCAUUUCAGUGACAGUGUGAAAAGUCACAAAAAUGGUGCAAGUCUAGGAAUAAAGCUUUCAACAACUGUUUCAAGGAGUAUGGCUGAGGAUGAGAUACAGCACUGUCAGGCUCAAAAGAAUAAAAUUUUCUGUGCUUUGUGUUUUUAGCAUGCCAGGUAUUCUCCUCUGUAACGGAUUUAGAACCUUUUUUUUUAUCUGCAAUAUUUUGCAUUGAAUCAAAAUUCUUUUUUUAUUUGAUGAGUUUAAUUAAGGUUCUAUAAGUAUCGUUGUCACAUCAACUAUACAUCAAUACCCCUUUCACCAUGUGGGGAACUCUUAUGCUUGAAUAUCU